rnacentral:rRNA from 1 species
AGUCAAUAGAUACCCAGGUAGUCCUGGCCCUCAACGUUGCUCGCUCGUUUUACGGAGUAUCGACCCUCUGUGAGACUAAAGCUAACGCGGUAAGCGAGCCGCCUGGGUAGUACGAUCGCAAGAUUAAAACUCAAAGGAAUAGACGGGGACUCGCACAAGCAGUGGAUUAUGCGGCUUAAUUCGUCGGUAAACGAAGAACCUUACCAAGGUUAGAAACCCAACUGCAUCCGACCUGAAAGGGACGGAGCCUUCGAGGGUGUUGGGCAGGUGAUGCAUGGUCGUCGUCAGUUCGUGGUUUGAACUGUUCCCUUCAGU